rnacentral:rRNA from 1 species
GUCCACGCCGUAAACUAUGAGAGCUAGCCGUUGGGAGAUUUAUCUCUCAGUGGCGCAGCUAACGCAUUAAGCUCUCCGCCUGGGGAGUACGGUCGCAAGAUUAAAACUCAAAGGAAUUGACGGGGGCCCCGCACAAGCAGUGGAGCAUGUGGUUUAAUUCGAAGCAACGCGAAGAACCUUACCAGCCCUUGACAUGGCAGGACGAUUUCCGGAGACGGAUCUCUUCACUUCGGUGACCUGCACACAGGUGCUGCAUGGCUGUCGU